rnacentral:tRNA from 1 species
CAGAGGAUAGUUUAAUUUUAUGAUCUUAGCUUUGGGAGCUAAGGGUGAGAGUUAGAAUCUCUCUCCUCUGA